rnacentral:rRNA from 1 species
GAAACAGUGGCUAAGACUGGAUAGGAAGAUAAAAGGCAUCUUUUAUCUUUUAAAAGACCUAGUAAUAGGUAUGCUUUAGGAGGGGCUUGCGCCAUAUUAGUUAGUUGGUAGGGUAAUGGCCUACCAAGACGAUGAUGUGUAGCUGGACUGAGAGGUUGAACAGCCACAUUGGGACUGAGACACGGCCCAAACUCCUACGGGAGGCAGCAGUAGGGAAUUUUCGGCAAUGGAGGAAACUCUGACCGAGCAACGCCGCGUGAAUGACGAAGUACUUCGGUAUGUAAAGUUCUUUUAUCAAGGAAGAAAAGCAAAUGGCGAACCAUUUGUUUGCCGGUACUUGAUGAAUAAGCCCCGGCUAAUUAUGUGCCAGCAGCCGCGGUAAGACAUAAGGGGCAAGUGUUAUCCGGAAUUAUUGGGCGUAAAGGGUGCGUAGGCGGUCUAGUAAGUCAGUGGUGUAAUGGCAACGCUUAACGUUGUCCGGCUAUUGAAACUGCUAAACUUGAGUUAGAUAGAGGCGAGUGGAAUUCCAUGUGUAGCGGUAAAAUGCGUAAAUAUAUGGAGGAACACCAGAGGCGUAGGCGGCUCGCUGGGUCUUAACUGACGCUGAGGCACGAAAGCGUGGGGAGCAAACAGGAUUAGAUACCCUGGUAGUCCACGCCGUAAACGAUGAGUACUAAGUGUCGGGUUAAACCGGUACUGAAGUUAACACAUUAAGUACUCCGCCUGAGUAGUACGUACGCAAGUAUGAAACUUAAAGGAAUUGACGGGACUCCGCACAAGCGGUGGAUCAUGUUGUUUAAUUCGAAGAUACCCGAAAAACCUUACCAGGUCUUGACAUGUUUUUGCAAAAUGAUAGUAAUAUCGUGGAGGUUACCAGAAACACAGGUGGUGCAUGGUUGUCGUCAGCUCGUGUCGUGAGAUGUUAGGUUAAGUCCUAAAACGAGCGAAACCCUUAUCGUUAGUUGCCAGCACGUUAUGGUGGGGGACUUUAACGAGACUGCCAAUGAUAAAUUGGAGGAAGGUGAGGAUCACGUCAAAUCAGCAUGCCCCUUAUGACCUGGGCUACAAACGUGAUACAAUGGCUGUUACAAAGGGUAGCUGAAACGCAAGUUCUUGGCCAAUCCCCAAAAACAGUCCCAGUCCGGAUUGAAGUCUGCAACUCGACUUCAUGAAGUCGGAAUCGCUAGUAAUCGCGAAUCAGCAUGUCGCGGUGAAUACGUUCUCGGGGUUUGUACACACCGCCCGUCA